rnacentral:rRNA from 1 species
GACGGAGGGUGCUAGCGUUGUUCGGAAUCACUGGGCGUAAAGGGCGCGUAGGCGGCCUUGCAAGUCGGUUGGUGAAAGCCCGGGGCUCAACCCCGGAGGUGCGGCCGAGACUGCAGGCUGGAGGCCGAAGAGGAGGGUGGAAUACCCAGUGUAGAGGUGAAAUUCGUAGAUAUUGGGUGGAACACCGGUGGCGAAAGCGGCUCUCUGGUCCGGACCUGACGCUGAGGCGCGAAAGCGUGGGGGAGCAAACAGG